GAUGAACGCUGGCGGCGUGCUUAACACAUGCAAGUCGAACGGAAAGGCUCCUGCUUGCUGGGGUACUCGAGUGGCGAACGGGUGAGUAACACGUGGGUGACCUGCCCUGCACUUCGGGAUAACUUCGGGAAACUGGGGCUAAUACCGGAUAGGACGACCGUUUGGAUGGCGUUGGGGGGAGAUUUUUCGCGGUGGGGGAUGGUCUCGCGGCGUAUCAGUGUGUUGGUGGGGUAGUGGCUUACCAAGGCUUUGACGGGUAGCCGGCCUGAGAGGGUGAACGGCCACAUUGGGACUGAGAUACGGCCCAGACUCCUACGGGAGGCAGCAGUGGGGAAUAUUGCACAAUGGGCGGAAGCCUGAUGCAGCAACGCCGCGUGGGGGAUGACGGCCUUCGGGUUGUAAACCGCUUUCGCUAGGGGCGAAGCGUGAGUGACGGUACCUGGUGAAGAAGCACCGGCUAACUACGUG
rnacentral:rRNA from 1 species